AGUCCCGUGGUGGAGUACCACGUUGAAUUGCAAAUUCAGAGAAGCAGAAUAAUACCCUGCCGGGGCUU
rnacentral:tRNA from 1 species